ensembl:lncRNA
GAUGCCCACUAAAGUGUUAUCACAUUUGUGGUAGUUUCUGUAAUUUUAUAAUGAAUGUUUUUGAAUAUUUGUUCAGGGGUAAUUAACCUGGUUCCACCAUCCAUGCACUAAAAUAUGUUAAAUAGAGGUCAGGAGUAAUUGUGGAGUUCGCCAGCAGGGGAUAGUGUGGCGCUUAUUGUGCUCCACGGGGCUUUACAUCAGUUUUGUCCGCUUUGCGGUUUUCCUCUUUCUGCUGAGUGAGAUGAAAAACGGACGCAGAGUUUGCCCUGUCUCAUUUAUUUCUCCUGUUUCCAGGUUGGUGGAAUAGUAAAUUAAGCUAAGUACCUGAAGUGUAAUAUGUUGACAUUUCGCUGAAUGUUUUAAUGUCCGCUAAUAAGGCUGUGUUAUGAAUAUGUGGUGAUAUAUGUACAUAUAGCAGUACCCGCAUUUUCGCGCCUGUUAACGUCACCUGUUGCUACCAAAGUCACGUUGGACAGAGUUUUAUUUUUAGCUCCUUGAACAUUUUUGUAAAGUCUUAAUACUUUUGAAAUGUAUGAUACUGUGUAAAAUGUUAAAAGCUAAUGUUAAAAACUGAGUUUAUGUAAUGGUUAAAAGCUAAUGUUAAAAACAAAUGUGAUAUAUUUUAAAAGUGGUUAAAAAUAAGUUAAAAAUCUGUCAGCUCAUGCAUUUUGGGAAGAGUAAAAAGGACUUUAGCUGGAAAUGGAAAAUGCAUUUAGGAACCAUAUGUAAGUGGUAACAUAAGCUAUGUUUUAUAUGUAAGUGAUAAGCUAUGUUUUAUUUUGAGGUAAAAAGAGACAACUUACAAGGUAACAGUGGUUAUUGUCAUUUUGAUUUAUUUAAUCACACAAAACUUAUAACUCAGUAUUUGCUGAAAGAUGAAAAAAAAGACAAAUUGUGUUUUAUUUUGAAGUUGUUUAUUUCAUAGUAAACAUUGAGUGUUUGUAACAGAGGAGGAUUUAAAUUGUGAAUGUCUAAUAAAUCCUCUCUCUCUCUUUCUGCUGAGCGAGAUGAAAAACGGA